UGACGUCAUCCCUGCUGGCUGAAGGGUCAGUUACUGUCAGUGAUCAGUUAUCAGAGGGAAGGUGCCUUCCUGGAGAUAAGCUGCCCUUCAGUGGGGCUCCUGGACUCUGGGGAAGCCUUCAGAGGGCUGAAAAGGAACAUGUACCCAGGCAGGACAGGACAACAUUUCCUCCAACUCCUGCUAAGGAGAAAUUUCCUGGCAGUAAGAACAAUCCAUCAGUGGCAUGGUUCCCCUCCAGAAGUGGUGGGCGCUCCAUCACUGGAGGAGCUGUGAAGAAGAGUUUCGACAGCCAUUUCUUCAGAAUGAUGUAUCUUGCUUGAGCUGGGGGUUGGACUAGAAGACCUCUGAGAUCCUUUCUGACAGUGUCAUCGACACAAUUGGGCGGACUCAGGGAGACAGUGGAGCACAGAGAGGGCUGACAUGCUGUUUCCAUGGCUUCCUGGGAGCUGGGCACGACUUAUCGACUGAACCCCAAAGUCCUUUCCAACCCUAUUAUUUUAUGUUCUAUGUAUGAUUUCUCCAGAAUCUCCCAAAGGUGCUUUUUUAGGAGGCAACUGGACUUUCUGGUUUUUCUGUUAAAAUAUUUCUCUUCUCAUCCAAGAAGCUUCUUCAGCUCUGACAGGAUAUUGGGGAUUGGAAGAAUUUAUACUCCUUGCAGACAGCUGGUCAUUUGCAUCCUUUAGAGGGUCCCUGAGGCACUUGGAGGCUUAUCUGUGUCCUCAGGGACACCUGAGUGGUGCAAAUGGUUCCUGUAGUCUGCAAUUUUUCCUCUGGAAAUCCAUUCUUAUUCCCACACCAUUGAAAAGGUGUCCAUCCCAAAUUGCAUAGCAAAAAGUCUGUAGAGAUUCUCAGUCAUCCAGGUCAUGGUUGUCCCAAAGGGGCUUUUUCAGGAGGCAACUGGACUUUCUUAUUUUUUUUUCUUUUGAAGACCUUUCGCUUCUUUAGCUUCUCCAGAAUUUGUCCACAUAAUUAAUUAGAACUACUAAUCAGUGGAACAACAUGCCUCCAGAAGUUGUGAAUGCUCUAACACUGGAGGUUUUUAAAGAAGAGUUUGGACAGCUAUUUGUCUGAAAUGGUGUAGGGUUUCCUUCCUGAGCACGGGGUUGGACUAGAGGACCUCCAAGGUCCCUUCCAAUUCUGUUAUUCUGUUAUAAGUUCUAAAAUUCUCCUCACAGCCGACAGCGUCAUCUCCUUUCCUCCUUGAGGACCAUAAAAGCCAAUAGUCUCCAGUAGCGCAAGAGGCUCCAGUCUCCCAUGCAAGAGACUCUCGUCACCUGAGAAUCUAGUCAGUUGCCUGGGGUGCUUGGUGCCCACGGCCUGUCCCUGCCCCUGUCAACUCGCAAAGCAUCCCUGGCUUGCUCUCGAGUUGCCAUAGGCAAGGGAGAUGGGAAAACGGCGAAGCAGCAUGGCAGCCAAAAACAAAAGCACAUUCCAGACAUAUCUCUCUCAAGGCUGUCUCCCAGAGUUACCUACAGUGGCCGGAGGGGAGUGAUCUCUACAACCCGCGAAAUUGGUCUGUUGGCGAAUGUGACUGAUGACAUGCCCUGGAGGGGGGGGAAGUCUGGGCUGUAAAUUAUGUGGGGUCAGAGUUGGCUUCACUUGGAACGUGCCGACAUGAAGCUCCUAAUAAAUAACUGAAUUUCUUUUGAA